rnacentral:tRNA from 1 species
GCCCAGAUAGCUCAGUUGGUAGAGCAGCGGAUUGAAAAUCCGCGUGUCGGCGGUUCAAUUCCGUCUCUGGGCA